rnacentral:rRNA from 1 species
UACGGAGGGUGCGAGCGUUGUCCGGAAUCACUGGGCGUAAAGAGCGCGCAGGCGGCUUGGUAAGUCGGAUGUGAAAUCCCGAGGCUCAACCUCGGGUCUGCAUCCGAUACUGCCCGGCUAGAGGUAGGUAGGGGAGAUCGGAAUUCCUGGUGUAGCGGUGAAAUGCGCAGAUAUCAGAAGGAACACCGGUGGCGAAGGCGGGUCUCUGGGCAGUAACUGACGCUGAGGAGCGAAAGCGUGGGGAGCGAACAGG